UUAUGUAAGGUUAGAAAUAUGGAUAUUAUAUAUGGAUAAUUAUAUAAUACACAUUUACAUCUUCCAGGUAUUACAAAAAAGCUUGACGCAUCAUCAAAGAAAAAGUUAUGUCACACCAUCUCACCGUGGAUCCACAGCAUCUCCAACCAUGUAUAUUGGUGUGGGGCAAGCAGUGAUGGAAAUGCUGAGCUGGUUGUGGCCAAGUGGAAGUUGGUGAUGAACCACAUUGUAGACAUCCAUGAACACCCAUUUGAGAACUUUCCAACCUGUGCACAUGAUGAGUUGGUAGAGGACAGAGAGUGGAUUGCAGAAGGUUCAAGGGCCCAUGUUGAGGUGAAAUCAAUUGUCACUAACCGUACUCUGCUUGCCGACAUUAGUAAAUUGUCACCUCAUGUGCAGACAUCAAGUGUUGAAAGCUACCACAAGGUGGUGUGCUUCUUUGCACCAAAGUUCUUGCACUUCUUUUUCUACCACAGUAUGAAUGCCAGAUUGAUGCUUGCCAUUCUCCAUUUCAAUGAGAAUUCCAACAGACAGCAGGCUAAGAACAAAGCUGGAAAAAAAAUGUGGCAGCUCUCAUUUCCAAAGGCAAAAAAAGGAGAACCAGUAGCCAAACAAGUUAAAGUCCCUUGUACUUAUGCAUACAUUGAUGAGUUGUUGGAUGAAGUAAUGGCUCAUCGGGAGGCCAUACCUUCUUAUGAAGUUGCAAGGCAAGAUUUAGAAGCCCAAAUUGCUCCUGAAUACGUGAAAGACCAAUAUGACAACGUCGAUAAACUCACAGUAGUUGUAACAAGGAAGUCGAGGUUCACACAGUUGGGUAUUUAAAACCAGUGUAGUCUGCUGACUCCCAGGUCUCUUUUAUUUUAUUCACUGCACAGGAUGGAAGAACUUUCCUAUUUCCUUUUCCAAUGCGUCCCCAAAUACAUCUGAUCAUUCUUCUAUAUGCAAUGUACCUGUAAAUCCUAAAAUAAAAAGAUAAUAUGAUGCAAAAAGUGUUUAGACCUGUAAUAAAAUUUCAAAAUUAUUGUAAUGCUGUUUUAAACUAUGCCCUACUUAAGUGAUAUGUUCUGAAUGUAAUUGAUGUUAUAUUUGUUUGCUAUGUACAUGUAAAUGAUUGUUUUUGUGUUUUACUAAAGCAAUGUAGUUAUAUUUCAAUGUUUUUUGCUGUUUCCAAAUAAAAUAUAUAGGCCUAAGGUGCAGAAACAACUGCAUUUAAUUUACAGUAAAAUAACUACAUCACAGGUGCAUACAGUGUAGGACUAGAAUUUAGCACUAAUACAUGUAUUUUCAAUAAACAAUUUUUCAACUA